GGGACCGUAGCUCAGCUGGUUAGAGCGCUUCCCUGUCACGGAAGAGGUCGCGGGUUCGAACCCCGUCGGUCCCGCCA
rnacentral:tRNA from 1 species